GCAAGUCGAACGGUAACAGGGAGCUUGCUCCGCUGACGAGUGGCGAACGGGUGAGUAAUGUAUCGGAACGUACCAUUCAGUGGGGGAUAACGUAGCGAAAGUUACGCUAAUACCGCAUAUUCUGUGCGCAGGAAAGCAGGGGAUCGCAAGACCUUGCGCUGAUUGAGCGGCCGAUAUCAGAUUAGCUAGUUGGUGGGGUAAAAGCUCACCAAGGCGACGAUCUGUAGCGGGUCUGAGAGGAUGAUC
rnacentral:rRNA from 1 species